rnacentral:rRNA from 1 species
AUUGAACGCUGGCGGCAGGCCUAACACAUGCAAGUCGAGCGAGCGGCGGACGGGUGAGUAAUGUAUGGGGAUCUGCCCGAUAGAGGGGGAUAACUACUGGAAACGGUAGCUAAUACCGCAUACCAUCAGAUGUGCCCAGAUGGGAUUAGCUAGUAGGUGGGGUAAUGGCUCACCUAGGCGACGAUCCCUAGCUGGUCUGAGAGGAUGACAAGCCACACUGGAACUGAGACACGGUCCAGACGCCUACGGGAGGCAGCAGGGGGGAAUAUUGCACAAUGGGCGCAAGCCGGAUGCAGCCAUGCGGGGUGUGUGAAGAAGGCCUUCGGGUUGGAAAGCACUUUAAGCGAGGAGGCGUUACUCGCAGAGGAAGCACCGGCUAACUCCGUGCCGGCGGCCGCGGUAAUU